rnacentral:rRNA from 1 species
CCUACGGGGUGCUGCAGUGGGGAAUAUUGGACAAUGGGCGAAAGCCUGAUCCAGCCAUGCCGCGUGUGUGAAGAAGGCCUUCGGGUUGUAAAGCACUUUCAGUGGGGAAGAAAGCCUUGGGGCUAAUACCCUCGAGGAAGGACAUCACCCACAGAAGAAGCACCGGCUAACUCCGUGCCAGCAGCCGCGGUAAUACGGAGGGUGCGAGCGUUAAUCGGAAUUACUGGGCGUAAAGCGCGCGUAGGCGGUCUGAUAAGCCGGUUGUGAAAGCCCCGGGCUCAACCUGGGAACGGCAUCCGGAACUGUCAGGCUAGAGUGCAGGAGAGGAAGGUAGAAUUCCCGGUGUAGCGGUGAAAUGCGUAGAGAUCGGGAGGAAUACCAGUGGCGAAGGCGGCCUUCUGGACUGACACUGACGCUGAGGUGCGAAAGCGUGGGUUGCAAACAGGAUUAGAUACCCCUGUAGUC